GAGACAGCAGCAGCCGCGGGAAUACGUAGGGUGCGAGCGUUAGUCGGAAUUACUGGGCGUAAAGCGUGCGCAGGCGGUUGUGUAAGACAGGUGUGAAAUCCCCGGGCUUAACCUGGGAACUGCGCUUGUGACUGCACAGCUAGAGUAUGGCAGAGGGGGGUGGAAUUCCACGUGUAGCAGUGAAAUGCGUAGAGAUGUGGAGGAACACCGAUGGCGAAGGCAGCCCCCUGGGCCAAUACUGACGCUCAUGCACGAAAGCGUGGGGAGCAAACAGGAUUAGAUACCCCAGUAGUCCCUGUCUCUUAUAC
rnacentral:rRNA from 1 species